GAGCUGCUGCCGCUGAGUCCGGAUCUGAGAAGCGUGCACCCCGACGCCCGCCCCACGUGCAUUCCCGGUUCCUCAUGGUUCUAAGUCCAAGAUGGCCAGUCUCAAGGAUCAGCUGAUUGUGAAUCUCCUUAAGGAGGAACAGGUGCCCCAGAAUAAGAUCACAGUUGUCGGGGUUGGUGCUGUGGGCAUGGCCUGUGCCAUCAGUAUCUUGAUGAAGGACUUGGCAGAUGAACUUGCUCUUGUUGAUGUCAUGGAAGACAAAUUGAAAGGAGAGAUGAUGGAUCUCCAGCAUGGCAGCCUUUUCCUCAGGACACCAAAAAUUGUCUCUGGCAAAGACUAUAAUGUAACCGCCAACUCCAAGCUGGUUAUCAUCACCGCUGGAGCCCGGCAGCAGGAAGGAGAGAGCCGUCUUAAUUUGGUGCAGCGUAAUGUCAACAUCUUCAAGUUCAUCAUUCCUAAUAUUGUGAAGUACAGUCCCAACUGCAAGUUGCUUGUUGUGUCCAACCCAGUGGACAUCUUGACCUAUGUGGCUUGGAAGAUAAGUGGCUUUCCUAAGAACUGUGUUAUCGGCAGUGGUUGCAACCUGGAUUCAGCCCGGUUCCGAUACCUGAUGGGGGGAAAGGCUGGGCAUGCACCCACUGAGCUGCCACGGCUGGAUCCUCGGGGAGCACGGAGACUCCAGCGUCCCUGUGUGGAGUGGUGUGAAUGUUGCUGGUGUCACCCUGAAGAAUCUGCACCCUGAGUUAGGAACAGAUGGGGAUAAGGAGCACUGGAAAGAGGUUCACAAACAGGUGGUUGACAGCGCUUAUGAAGUGAUCAAACUGAAAGGCUACACAUCCUGGGCCAUUGGACUGUCGGUGGCAGAUUUGGCAGAAAGUAUAAUGAAGAACCUUAGGAGGGUGCACCCAAUUUCUACCAUGAUUAAGGGGCUCUAUGGAAUCAAGGAUGAUGUUUUCCUUAGUGUCCCUUGUGUCCUGGGACAGAAUGGGAUCUCUGAUGUUGUGAAGGUGACUCUGACUUCUGAGGAAGAGGAACGUUUGAAGAAGAGUGCAGACACCCUGUGGUCGAUCCAGAAGGAGCUGCAGUUUUAGAGUCUUCCAGUGUCGCCACGUCACUGUCUAGGCUACAGGAGGGCUUAGUUGGAGUUGUGCCCGUUGUCCUUUUUAGCUCACAUGUGAUUGAAGCAGCACUAUUAAGAUGUCCUGGGGAAAACAGUUUCUGAAAGUUAAAGUAGAAACGGUUCACAAAACUCCACAGCUCUGUCCUGAUGCCGGAUGGUGCUGCACUUGUAGUCCUGGUUAGUAUCAAGUAGCCCAGCAUCUGAGACACCUCACUGCACAGGCUCCAGUUACUCUUCAAACAGAUGUGUGUUACUCGGUUACACAGCUUCACCCACCAAGCCUUGUCUGACCUUUCCCCAGUUGGUUCUAGCCUGGGAUCCAGUGUACAAACCCAAUACUGCAUGUCUUGUGCAUAACUGUCUUAAAGGAUUUUAUUUUGUGUAUUAUAUAUAUAUGAGUAGUGUACUUUGCCAUAUAAUGUAAAAAGAUCUACCUGUGAACAGUGCAACCCAGCGUCACACCAACUACAAUACCAAAUAAACCUUGAACAGUG